UAAAAAAUUCUGAUUAAGGCCUCCUGCACACGACCGUUGUGUGCACCCGUGGCCGUUGUCCCGUUUAACGUGUUUUUCUGUGGUCCCAUUGACUUUCAAUGGGUCAGUGGAAAACUCGGCUACUGCACCGUUUUGUCACCCGCGCCCGUGACCCGUGUUUCCUGCCCGU